rnacentral:misc_RNA from 1 species
AAUCAGAAAAUGAUUGGGAAUAAAUCUGAAUGAUGUUACUUCGAUUGCAUAUCAUAGGGUUUCAUCAGGGCUACGUGAAGAUGUGCUAAUCAGAAAAUAACUCAAAAUAUCAUCAACGAGUUGGAAAACAUCAGAAGAAAAUUGGGAAAAAAUCUCUGCUAGCGCAACUUCACUUUCACAUUAUCAGAUGAUAGCAGAGGAGAGACAAAAUGCACUGAUUAAACAGAAACAAUUAAAAAAAUCAAGAAAAUGUAGGGAAAAUGCGUUAAAGCAAGGAAAAAUGGGGAAAAAAAUUAAGAUACGAUGACCGUGUAGUAUUCUCCUGUGUCCUGACCAUCAAAACACCGUUCUGACUCCUAAAAAUCAAAGUACAACUAAAAGCAAUCAAGAUAUCUCAAUUUCUCGGCUUCUUUAAGUAAUAAAUUAGCGAUAACUUGAUUAUUCUAAUGGAUACAUUAAUUCAACCAACACGUUCGGCUGUGCCUAGCCUUAACCGUGCUCCCCUCAUUCUUUACAAUUCUCUGGAUCUUUACUCCAUCUGUAAAAAUAUUCUACUCGGAGACACUUAUUGUAAGAAUUAAAUAAAGUUGUCGCAAAUUUCUUCCUGUUAAAUGGUGCAGUUUUCAGGUAGAUCGAUUCGCAUGCAGAAAUAGGCAGAGAUCGACCCAAAGACAUCCUGGAAUAUAUAUAUUCUUCUCUCGAUGCACGGUAGAAAUUCCAGGACCUUCUUUUCUGAACUGGAAUUAAGAAUAGAGAAAAUCAAACUACUGUGGAUGCGCCACCACCCUCCAAAGAUUAAAAAUCAAACACCCCACUCGCUCGUACAAUACCGAUCCUGAAUUCGACACAGAAAUGCUCCAACCAGACAAAUAGCGCACAGAAAUCGGUCGACCAUCCUCCGCUUACGAUUUUGCGAAUUAAAUCUCCAAGUUGAAGGAGAGGCGGAAAUUUUUCCUCCGAUGCAACCUCAUCGUCGCAGCCUUCUCCUCUCACAAUCAGUUGGUCUACAUUUCGUUUGAUUUGACAAUCCUCGUGUACGAAAUAGAAAUCUACAACCAAAAUAGAGAUCAUACCACUGAUCUGUAUCGAUAGAUCAUGCCGAUAGCGAUAAUGAUCAUAAAUAAGUUCGUCUUCUGUUACCAGCUGUCAUAAUUCAAUCGCCCACGUUCAUGAAUUAGCGCGAGAUAAAUAAAAGUGGUAAUUAUUUUUCAAAUUGAACCAUAAAUUCUCCGUAGGACCAACGAUCUAUGAAUAAAUAAAAUCGAAGAUUUGUUUACGUUAUGGAGACGAUGCCAGACAGAUGCAGAACAUCCGCUGGUACCUGUAAUAUGAAAUUCGAAAAAAGGCCUCACCGAAGGAGAGCAUCCGGUUCGUUGAUUCCAAGCAAUACCUGGCCUUCGGAGAUUAGGGAGUUUUCCAGCGAUCACAAUUUGAAACCGCCCGAAGGGAAAUUUUCCGAUGAAUCGGUGGACGUUGCUGAAAUUACCGAAAUUCAUUAUCCCGAUUUUACGAGCUGCGGCGUAAGAAUUAAGAGCUGCAGAGAAAAAUCCAUCCCACUCAAUUCUCUAGGGAGAGGGGAGAUCGGUAGAGAUAAUUAUCAUACCGUGGAUAAUAAUUAUAAUGUAGAUAAUACCUCGACGUUGUCACAAAAUAAGAUCCGGAUCGAUAAUAUCCCGGUGGAAUUAGAAUCCCCUUCAUCCCCUACCCAAGGAGUAGCACACGCUGUAGAAGCCGAACAGAAAUUACAAAAGUUGAAGGAAUUACAGAGAAAACGGGAAUUAACCGAACGAUAUUAUUCCCAGGAGAUAAGAAAGUUGAUCGCCGAGUACUACAAGGACUCUAAAAUAACUGGAGAUGUAAUAAAUAGGAACAAAGAGACGUCACUUGCGAUAAAUACCGGCGCAAUAAGCCCGAAGAAGGCUUGCGGGGCAGCCGCGAAUCAAGGGGAUAACAAAAUUGUAAGCAAACCGAUCCAACCGACGGAAAAUAAUCCUCCGGGGGUCCUGAAGGCUCUCGAACCAUGCGGAACAAUGACGACGAUAACUCGUCUCGAUUGCGGUUGCAUGCAGGAAACUACGAGACCAAUAUUCACCACGUCCCACGGGAGGGUGGAAAAUCGAAAUUGUCGCCACGGAAAAAAUCCAGCGAUUCUAAAACUCGCUCCCUCCAAUCCCCAGGAACACUUGUCGUUAUCCAAUACAGAAACUAAAAGAAGAUCCUCGCAAAUACAAAAUUCUUCAUCCGGAAUAAAACAUCGGCCAGGGAUCAACUGCUACCUUCCCGCCUGCGGGAAAAGCCAGGAUUUGCCAAAAUUUUCACGUUCUAAAAACAAGGAUAAUGGUCAAGACAUUGAUCAGAAUAACGCUAGACAUAUUUUGAGGAGACCGGGAACCGCUAGCAGUUCUUUCAUCAUCAGGAAUAAUUACCAUCCCGAGGGAAUGAGAAACUUGUCACCGUUAAGAAAAUAUACGGAUAGUUCCACCGAUUGAUUUCCACGUGGAUUUUUGAUUUUAAUGUAUUUUUAUACGACUCGUCAAAUUGCUGAGUACAGAUAAAGUAAUAAUUACAUAAUAAUCAUAAUCAAAAUGAUAUUUCGAUCAAUCAAUCGAUCGUUCUUUAUUUAUUUGAGCUGUCAGAAUUUUUAUUUCACUCCUUCAGCUCGAGAGUCGUGUAAUGCUGUUGCAAAAUUAUUCAGUGCAGUAAUUAAAAGGAAGAAAUCGGUAAAUAUUAUUAAUUAAAAGAGCAAAAAGAGAACGAAUCAUGGAAUCUUUCACAACGCGUUUAGUCGGGAUGUCCGUCAAGGCGGUAUUACAUUAUAUUUUCUACCGAAUAGCCGUCGUCGUAAUAUUUACUACAGUAAAUUUCGCCUCCGGAAUUUACUGCAAAUUAAUUUCUAAAAGAUUCGCAUCAAAUCCAACGUUAAAAAGCGAAGAGACUAAUUUGAAAUCGAAUCUCGACGAGCAGGAAUUAUACGACGAUGAAAAAUCUCAAACUAGGAAAUAUAACGCAGCCGCAGAUCUUCAUAUGACGAAUAAUUGUCCAGCACCCGAAUAAAUAAAACAUCAUUUGUUAUCGUCAUCACAAUUUAUUUACAAACACCGCCGUCAAAAUUACACCGGUUCAGACGCAUGCGGCCCACUGAUUCGAUUAUAUAAAUUAUUCGUCUACGUCGAGUGUUGAUAAAUUAUAAGUUGAAAAUA